GACGAACGCUGGCGGCGUGCUUAACACAUGCAAGUCGAACGGAAAGGCCCUGCUUGCCGGGUACUCGAGUGGCGAACGGGUGAGUAACACGUGGGUGAUCUGCCCUGCACUUCGGGAUAAGCCUGGGAAACUGGGUCUAAUACCGGAUAGGAGCCAUUUUUAGUGUGAUGGUUGGAAAGUUUUUUCGGUGUAGGAUGAGCUCGCGGCCUAUCAGCUUGUUGGUGGGGUAAUGGCCUACCAAGGCGGCGACGGGUAGCCGGCCUGAGAGGGUGGACGGCCACAGUGGGACUGAGAUACGGCCCAGACUCCUACGGGAGGCAGCAGUAGGGAAUAUUGCACAAUGGGCGCAAGCCUGAUGCAGCGACGCCGCGUGGGGGAUGACGGCCUUCGGGUUGUAAACUCCUUUCGCUAGGGACGAAGCUUUUUGUGACGGUACCUAGAGAAGAAGCACCGGCUAACUACGUG
rnacentral:rRNA from 1 species